GCGGGUGUAGCUCAGUUGGUAGAGCACUUCGUUGCCAACGAAGAUGUCGAGGGUUCGAGUCCCUUCACCCGCU
rnacentral:tRNA from 1 species